UACGAGGGGAGCAAGCGUUGUUCGGAUUUACUGGGCGUAAAGGGCGCGUAGGCGGCCACGACAAGUCACUUGUGAAAUCUCCGGGCUUAACUCGGAAAGGUCAAGUGAUACUGUCGGGCUAGAGUACAGAAGGGCAACUGGAAUUCUCGGUGUAGCGGUGAAAUGCGUAGAUAUCGAGAGGAACACCUGCGGCGAAGGCGGGUUGCUGGGCUGAUACUGACGCUGAGACGCGAAAGCGUGGGGAGCGAACAGG
rnacentral:rRNA from 1 species